rnacentral:rRNA from 1 species
AUGCACGGCGCUUCGGCUUCGUCGUCGCCGCAGGCAGCGGCACCAGUUGCGCUACCCCCGCUGCGCUGCCCGGGCGGACCGCGCGUUAAGGCAGAGGGCAUCAAGCAACUGUACAAAGUACCGCACGCCGGGUUCCUUGCCAAGUACGACCAGCGCUUCAUGUUAAACCUCAAGCUCACCCAUCAACUCGUCAGCUAUCUUAGUCGCACAACACUCACGACGCCGGACAAGGUGCUGGUGGAGCUGGGACCUGGCGUCGGGUCACUCACACGGAGUCUGCUGACGCGGCCUUGCGUCGGCGUCCUCGGGAUCGAAGUGGACGAACGCUUCAGCCCACACCUAGAGCAGAUCCGCAGCUACACAAGCAAUAAGUUCCAAUGGGUGACCGCCGACGUGCUCAAGGUGGACGAGCUGGAGCUGCUGAAAUCGGCCUUCCCGCAUUUUGUGAAGGCCAACAUAAGGCGUCCACCCAGUCCUGGACAGGAGACUUGGGCGGCCAACUCGGCAGCCGGCCGCUCUUCAAGCAGUGGAUCGCAGAGAGUCACCUUCACUGACGACGCCGGUGAGAACGACGCGGAUGGGUACGAGGGUGCGCCGUUGCGCUCGGCUCAACGUGAACGGCUGCUGCGUCAGCGCCGCGCGCGGCAGCCCUACCAACACAGUGACGACACCCACCGCGGAGGUGCUGAAGGAGCGGCAGACCCGGAAACAGCGGCGUCGCCUAACGCUGCCUUCGAUGUGACAAAUUACUGGUGGUCUAACGGGAAUGCGAAGGUCGAGGUGAUUGCAAACCUGCCCUUCGAGAUCAUCACCGAGCUGCUGAUGCGCUACGCAGUGGACUGCUCGCAGCAUCGCGGGCUCUUCGCCUUUGGCCGUGUGCCGGUACACGUCUUCACCCAGCGCGAGGUGGCCGAACGCAUUCUGGCACCGGCUGGGUCCGUGCAGUUCAGCCGCCUUUCUGUCCUCUGCCAGUGCUUCUUUCACGUUCGCCUCAAGCAGACGUUUUUAGACCAGACUUACUACCCGCGCACAGAGGUGGAGGGCGCAAUGCUGACGCUGGAGCCGCGUUCCGUGCCACUCGCACACGGUCUCGAUGCGUCCACCCUGAUUCACUUUACCAACCUGCUCAUGAAGCCGGGACUGCGCGCCGCCACCGUGCACAAGUCGCUCUCCCGAUUUGCACCUGCGGAGUUGGUGCAUUACAUGCUGCAGGAGCUGCGAAUGGACGGCGCGAUGACAGUGCUGGACUUGUCUGUGGUCGAGGUCACCCGCUUGGCUUGCCUGUGGCAGCAGUUUGUGAUCAUGUCGCAACAGCAACCACAGCCGGAGGCCGACGGUGCCGAGGCAGAAGCUGGAAGCCGCAAGGCCAGAUCCCCAAAUGGCGCCGUGUAG